GAGAAAAGGAGAUGGAGCAGCUUGGACGGGUGGAUCUGAAACAGGUUCCUGGAGCUGAAACAAGGGGAGGUGGGAGCUCACAAUGAUGGUGGCACCAGCGCUGGAAGAGUGAAGAUCUCCUGGCUGCCCCUCCGGCUGAUGGCUCCUGUCUGCGAAACAGAGAAAAACCAGGGAAGUUUGUUGUUCUUCCUGACUAAAGCGACGCACGGGGGAACGAGCAGAGCGGUGGUCGGGCACCCAGGACACUGCAGGAUGCCAUAAGCAUCUCAGCUGCAAUUUGUUACUGGUUUUCCACUUAAAGGUUUCUCCAUAAUACUUUAAUGUGGGAGCACGCGGAGCUUUAUGGAUGGUCUCAUAUUUCGCAGCUGACAUAUCUUCAGCCAAAGUAUGUCAGCUACAGGAGAGGGCAAGGCUUUUCACUGGCUUUGGGAGUUCUUCUUCCUCUGUCAUAAACCACAUAAAAGAAAAAUACAAAUGAUCAGCUCUCCAAAAUUGCUAUUUAUUACCUCAUCAUGAAGCCGUCUACUGGACUCUGCAGUGGUAUUGAGUAAUAUCAUUACUUAAACCAUAAAGAGGUUUAAGUAUUUAUUACUCAAAAUUGAGAAAAUUAGCAUCCAUAUGGAUCCUAUUGUUUUAAGACCAGUAAUGCUGCCAAAACAAGUGGUGUUAACAUUCCAAACUACAGACUGUCAUAAUUUCUCGUCUAGUGUUUCAUUCUUUCAUUUGGUAUUUAUAAUACCUUUGAAUUGAGGAACUGAAUGGAUCAUAAAAUCUCUCAUAUCAGAUAAAUCAUUUAACAGCUAGCCUACUGUUCAGAACCUGAUUUAUGGUGGCAACGAGUGAAAGGAAUUAACAUCUGCUGACCUAAGGAAGACAGACUAAGUUGAUUUGGGAUAAUCUUUCUCUAGUAAAGGGACAAAAGAAAAAGCACACUCUAAAAAAUUUAACUACUUAAUUUGCAAUACAUAGCACCUUGGUAGGUAGUCAGACAGGAUAUCCUAAACUUCCAUCCCUGGAAAAAAUUAUGGAGUGAAACUCCAUGAAAUCAAUUUCCAGGCAUGUGAGGAAUAAAAGAGGGAUUGGGAACAGCCAACCUGGAUAUACUGAGGGCAGAUCAUGCUUGACCAAACUGAUUGUGUGCUACAGUGAAACGAUAGACUCUUUCGAAAGGGGAGAGCUGGCAAUGUCUUUUAUCCUGACUUCAGUGAGGUUUUAAUGCAGAUUUUAUAGCAUCUGUAUAGUUGAACUGAAGAAACACAGACUGGAUGGGUGCUCUGCAGAGCGGGUGGAGAACUCACUGGACCACUGGGUUCAAAAAGGAGAAGUCAACAGGCAACCAGUUACAAGUGGCAUUUCUCAAAGGUCAAAUGGGGCUGAUACAGAUUAACAUCUCCAUCGAGGACAGGGACGGCAGGACAUAGUGCAAUGCUGGGGAUGGCAACUCUUGGGGAAAGUGGUCAUUAUUUUGGAGAGCAUGGUUGCCAUUCACAGGGACUUCAAACUCUGCAUGCUGGAGGGAAUGGGCCACUAAGAACUUCAGGAAGUGCACCAAACUAGGUUUAUCCAGCCUGGAGAAGACUAAGGAGGAAUCUAAUUGGUGUCUUCAGCUGAGCAUAAAGAGGUAUUUCAGAGAAGAAAGGGGCAGACUCCUCUUGAAGGUGGCAGUGAAAGGACAAGCAGCUGAAGAUCCAAGUUAUAACAACAGACAUUCCAACGGGAUAUAAAGGGAAAGAAAUUUCACAAUGGAUUAGUCAAGCAGUGGAGUAGGUUGCUCAGCGAGGUUGUGAAAUCUCCAUCAUUGCAGACUUUCAAAACUCAGUUGGACUUGGCCUUGAGCAACAUGAUGUAAUUUUGAAGUCAGAGCCGCUCUGAGCAGGAGGUUGGACAUCAUGACCUCCAGAGGUCCUUCCAACUCAAAUUAUUCUAUGAUGUUGUGAAAAAUCUUCAAUACGAAUGCUGAUCUCCCCUUAGAGGACGCCCCUUCAGCCAUCCAGUGGAAUGCUUGAAGUAGAUAUCACUGCUGUUUUCCAAACUGCUGUACUUGUUCUGUGGACUAAAAGUCAACUUCCUUCUAUUCAACAACACUCUCAAGCAAAAUUAGAACACCAAAAAGCAACUUUCAAAGAACUAAAUAACAUUAAAAAAGAAGGUUGUGAGUAAGGCCCCCCCUCUCUGUACACCAGACAUUCACCAAGCAAGUUUAGUUGUAAUAUUUGGAUCAAUCUCAUAUCACAGAAACUACGUUCAAAAGAGAAGAAUUAGACUCUUACACUUGAGAGUCUUUGCCGCACACUAAACUUAAAAUAGAAAGCACACACUCCUUUUAUUUCAGAAUCAAGAGCUUAUAUUGCAAGUUGACCAUUUCUGCAGAGCAACAAAGUGUUUUUGCCUCUCUGCUUAGAAAUUAGCUCCAGACAUCGCAAAUGCUGCAGUUACUAUCACCUCUGUUGUGUUAUGCUGGUGUAAUUGAUCAUUUAUUACUUUAUUCCUUUAUAUAACUUUAAUUUUAAAAAUAACUGCACACCAUGUAUAGCUUAUUGUCUAUUGGUGUUAAUCAUUCAUUGCAACCAUCACACACAAACGCUAUAUGCAAAGCCACACCUAGUGUAUGUGUUACAAACCGGCAUAAAGAUCCUUCACCCUGCUGAUGAGAAAGGCUCAUCUCAUGUUUUCUCAGAUAAAUUGUUCUGUAUUUAUUAACAUCUAUGCCGGGAAUAAUAACUUUUUUCUAAACAUGGAGUACUGGUAUAAAAUAAAACUAAUACCAUAUGAUAUAAAAGCUAAAUUACGUACUCCACCUUUUCAGCCGCCAAUAUUUAAAAUUAAAACAAAAACCAAACCAAAAUGUUGAUUACAGUGUAAUAACAACUACCACAUAUAUUCCGUUUCAUAUAAUAUAAACAGAAAGUCCAUUUUGCUGAAAAGAGCUCCAUUCCAGAAUCAGAGUUCAUCCGAUGUGAUGAGCUAGUUUCUAUGGCAACUGCUUUCUCUUUUACAUACACUAGAGACGGCACAAAAUGUCAGUUCUCUCCUAAGCCAACGGAGCAUUUUUAAUCAGCAAAUGAUAAUUUAUGCACCAUUAUAUAUGGCUUCCAAAGAUGUUUUUACUGAACAUUUUAAAUGCUGAAGAGCCUGAAGUCUGAAAGGACAGAGAAGCCAGUUGAGUGGCACCUCCUGCACCGAAGUCUCACUGUCUCAUUUCAGUCGUAUCGUAAAAAGCAAGAGUCGAGGAAAAAUGUGGAAGAGAUCAUAGAUGAUCACCCGCUACAGCACGGGAACGCUUUGAUGGUUCCAUUAAGCGAGGAAGUGGCAGAUGUUUAUAGCUUGUUCAACAGCCCUUUGAAAGGCACCUCGAGCAGAAGCAGCAGCUCCGACGUGGGGCCACGAGCCGGGUGUCUGACACAAAACAACCACCAUGGCCCAGGUUGAAUAUCUCUAUAGGACCCAUCAUCAGAUCCACGAUUCCAGCAGAAAUUCCCCAUCAAUGGGAUCCACCCAACCCUGAGUCAUCGACAAUGAGUAACAACCAAGGGAAACCACGUAAGCGCCACGACAAAUAUUUGGUACUUCGAAUAUUUUACAUCAACAGUCAUGUUCAUUAUCCUGGGUGGAUUGGUGGUAAAUUAAACAUGCUGCAAUACAGUCAAAAGCUUUUGUUUAGGAAAGGCUAAAAGGGAACGGCUGUCCGUCUGCACAAGUCUGACUGUCAGCCCAAGUAAAAUAUAACAAACAAAUAUUUAGAUUGUCCGCAGAGAAAGCCUGCAGAGCAAACAAUGCGCUUCUUCUCACGCCAAAAGCAUCUUCUAUUAAGAAAAAAAAACAAAGUAAAAACAAGCCACAGGAUUUAUUUACUCAGAAUUGUAUACAGAAGUGACUUCAGUAGCACCAUCAACAUCGGAAUGUUCACAGGCUACAUCUAUCUGUGCCCUCCAGACACGAGCUAGCAAACUGCUGCCACUGAUACCAGCCAAAUGUCCCUGUUGGAACGGGUGUGUGCAGAUAUCAGAACAAUUCCAUGAAGCAGAAGAGCUGAUCAGUGAUUUAUCUGUACGGUAACAAUAGGGCCUUUCAGAUCAAAGAUUAAGAAAGUCUCCUAUUGUGAAACAAAUGCUCCCAAAUUCCUUCUGUCUUAGUGUAGUGCAGAAAAGUUAUGUUACAGCAAUAUCUACAUGCAGAAAUCGUGCAUGUGCUAGGGAAUUUAGUUAUAAUUUAAGUAUAAUUAUAUAAUUAAAUUAAGUAUAUAAUAUUUCUACUAUUUUCUUUUCUGUGUUUUCUCUUGUCAAUAGUUGAUAAAGCUUCCAUCCCAUCAGCACAGUACCGCUGCGGGCUGACUACGUAUAUGGAGGCAAAAUAAAUCUCUUCUGUUUCCCCCACUUUGUUGAUACAGUAACGAUCUAUACAGAACCAUAAACGUGCACUGAGGAUUUGCUGGAAUGAAAAUACUGAUAGUUGCAGAAAGAUGACUCUUACAAGUGCAAAGAAGGACAUUUUGGAAGAGGAGAAGCCAGAAGAGAAGGGAAAGGAUGCCCUGCACAUCGGGAAGGAGCCGCUGAUUUCUGAGGGGGUGGAUGGUAAAGCCGAGAGGAUUACGGGAAGCGCAAGGAGCAGGAUAGGAAAAAGGAAAAGGAUGCAUCGGCCAUGGAAAAUACCUUAUUAAUUCAUCUUGCUGCCUCCAACCUGCUCUUUUUUUUAUAACGACCUCCAUUCUCAAUGCGUGUGUCUGUACGAUUUCAGAACUGCUCAAGGUUUUCCUUUCCCAACCAGUAAGGGUUGAGAGCCCCAAGACACCCCCAAACAUCUCUUAUAGCAGCCUAAUUGUUAAAGAGCACAAACUUCAAAUGUUAAAAUUAAAUACAAUGACAUCAGUGACCAAUACUGGCAAAAUGCACCUUGGCGCUCGAGCUUCUCCUGACCCAAUUACGAACGGACGAAAACAGGGGAUUUGCCAAUUAUCUCGUAACAGAACCUGGGAAGAGAAUUCAGUUUCCUCACGGAAACUUCUUUUCUCCUCUCGCUUUAGUGCAGAGCCUUGUAUUUGAAGUUCCAGGGGUAACAUUUAUCUUCUUUUUCUUGCCCGAAGGUCAACGGUCAAAGAACAAGCACGAAAAUGAUCCAACUUUGUACAGCAGCUGGAACGUGAGAAUCUUUGAGCUGGUUGAGGGCACGUGUCAGAUGCUGGGGAGAGAAUGAGACUCGCAGGAUAAAAGGGAAAUAGAAAGGUACAACUGGCACCACAGCCCAUCUGGCAUCGGUUAUUAAAAUUUCCUAACCUUGCUAUCUUAUUUCACAGAAGCAAACGAGAUGUAUUAUUCUCUGUAAUCAGAAGUCUUGCUUCAGUAGCAAGGCUGGUUUUGUUAAAACAAAGGACGAUCUCAAUCAGCCAAGAUGGUCCUUGUUUUGUGAACUAGCGUAUAAACUAAAAUUAUUGAGGGAGGCGGAGAACGAAUGGCCAAAGCGUAGCUUAAAAACGCUCCUAAUGAAAAUCCAGAUAAUAUUAAAAAAAAGCCUAAAUUAAAUAGAAGUAGCGAUGCAAAGACACCCUUAAAAAAAACAGAAGUCCUGUAUUAUUAACUACUAUUUAAAGAAUAACAAUAUUAUGGCAGUUCAUCGAAAACAUAUAGGAUUCAAAAGACUACAAGAACACAGCAUGGUAUAAAAGCCUUUGUACUGCUUUGACUUUUAUUGACCUACACGUCAAUUUACUCCUCCCCAAGCAUUACAACCCUAGGUGAAAAAAUCAAAGCAAGCCUCCCAGAAAUGGAUAAAUCCAAGAGCUAAAGAAGAAUGCAACUGUUACCCAGAAAUCCAUCAGCAACACAGAAGGUGAUCCACGUAAAUCAAGUUCCUUUCCUGAAAAUAUAUUAAACUUGUAUUUCAAAGCAGCAGCAACAUUAUUUUAUAUUGACUUAAAAUCUGGCAACGGAAAUGGUAAUUUUUAUACUUCAGUUCUGAUUAAAGCACUAAUAAAUGUACUCGUAUUUGAACAAAA